UACGGGGGGGGCAAGCGUUGUUCGGAAUUACUGGGCGUAAAGGGCGCGUAGGCGGUCUGCUAAGUUGGAUGUGAAAACUCUGGGCUUAACCCAGAGCCUGCAUUCAAUACUGACAGGCUAGAGUUCUGGAGGGGAUAGCGGAAUUCCUGGUGUAGCGGUGAAAUGCGUAGAUAUCAGGAGGAACACCGGUGGCGAAGGCGGCUAUCUGGACAGAGUCUGACGCUGAGGCGGCGAAAGCCCAGGGAGCAAACGGG
rnacentral:rRNA from 1 species